AUUGAACGCUGGCGGCAUGCCUUACACAUGCAAGUCGAACGGUAACGGGCCUUCGGGUGCCGACGAGUGGCGAACGGGUGAGUAAUACAUCGGAACGUGCCCGAUCGUGGGGGGUAACGAGGCGAAAGCUUUGCUAAUACCGCAUACGAUCUACGGAUGUAAGCAGGGGACCGCAAGGCCUUGCGCGGACUGAGCGGCCGAUGUCAGAUUAGGUAGUUGGUGGGAUAAAAGCUUACCAAGCCGACGAUCUGUAGCUGGUCUGAGAGGAUGAUCAGCCACACUGGGACUGAGACACGGCCCAGACUCCUACGGGAGGCAGCAGUGGGGAAUUUUGGACAAAGGGCGCAAGCCUGAUCCAGCCAUGCCGCGUGCAGGAUGAAGGCCUUCGGGUUGUAAACUGCUUUUGUACGGAACGAAAAGCCUUCUUUUAAUACAGGAGGGUCAUGACGGUACCGUAAGAAUAAGCACCGGCUAACUACGUG
rnacentral:rRNA from 1 species